UGAUGUAACUAAUGGUGGAGCAUCUGAAAGGAAGACACCUUGAUCCAAUUCAUCUUCGGACUGGAAUUGCCCAAGUUUCCUUUACAAAACCAAGCUCUCAAAAGAAGCCUCUACCCUAUGCCAGCCUCUUUUCUCCUUCUCUUAUACAUUCUAGUAUCCUAGGAAAUUUGUCCCCUACACAUGCCUGGUUCUCUGUCUGCUUGUUGAGACUUUGGAGGGUUUUCUUCAUGCCCUACUCAGCAAAGCUUGGGUGGUCGUUAGGAGGACAGUAAGCAAGACCCUCACGUGGAGCAUUCUCACCACCAACAAAUUAAUCUUCUCCCUCGAAAGACCACACAAAGAGCUUGUCCCUGCAACUCGACCCCAGCCCACCCAGGGAAACUUGAGCAGCAACCACCAGGUUUAGUUCCUGAUUGGUGCAACACAAAUUGAAAGGCGGGACUGUGGGACCCAUUGAGACGCGGGAGACAUUCUGAAACAGAGGAAGAGAAAGAAAAUGAGGAAAAAGAAAAUUAUUUACAAGCCUAAAUUAUGUUCAGGCCUCC
rnacentral:lncRNA from 1 species